AAGUCGUAACAAGGUUUCCGUAGGUGAACCUGCGGAAGGAUCAUUAUCGAAAUCGAAAAAGUCUAGGAUGGGCAAGGGGGGUGGGACUUGCAUGUCCUCGCUCCUCGAACCUUCCGAGGCUUUGACCUUAUCAACACCAUCGUGCACCCGCUGUAGGUCCUUCGGGGCCUACGUCUUUUCCUUCCAACUCGUAUGUCUACAGAAUGUAUGCGUCGCUUCGGCGACAGCGAAACCUUAUACAACUUUCAGCAAUGGAUCUCUUGGCUCUCGCAUCGAUGAAGGACGCAGCGAAUCGCGAUAAGUAAUGUGAAUUGCAGAUUUUCCGUGAAUCAUCGAAUCUUUGAACGCACCUUGCGCUCCUCGGUAUUCCGGGGAGCAUGCCUGUUUGAGUGUCAUCGAAACCUCGAAACCGAAGCCUUCGACCCGUCGGAGCUCGGUCUCGGACCAUGGGAGUCUGCGGGCGGCAACGUCGGCUCUCCUCAAAAGCAUUAGCUGUGGGUACGAGCCUUGCGUGGCACGGCCUCUUCCGACGUCGUAAUGAUCGUCGUGGGCUGGAAGCGCGAGGACCGGCAUGACCCGUGCUUCUUAACUCUGUGCGAGUCGCACGUAUCAAGGCUUGACCUCAAAUCAGGUAGGACUACCCGCUGAACUUAA
rnacentral:rRNA from 1 species